UGUCCAUGUUUCAGUGUUUAUUACCGUUAAUCAGCUACAGAAUGGUCAGUAAGGUCCAUGUUUCAGUGUUUAUUACCGUUAAUCAGCUACAGAAUGGUCAGUAAGGUCCAUGUUUCAGUGUUUAUUACCGUUAAUCAGCUACAGAAUGGUCAGUAAGGUCCAUGUUUCAGUGUUUAUUACCGUUAAUCAGCUACAGAAUGGUCAGUAAGGUCCAUGUUUCAGUGUUUAUUACCGUUAAUCAGCUACAGAAUGGUCAGUAAGGUCCAUGUUUCAGUGUUUAUUACCGUUAAUCAGCUACAGAAUGGUCAGUAAGGUCCACGUUUCAGUGUUUAUUACCGUUAAUCAGCUACAGAAUGGUCAGUAAGGUCCACGUUUCAGUGUUUAUUACCGUUAAUCAGCUACAGAAUGGUCAGUAAGGUCCACGUUUCAGUGUUUAUUACCGUUAAUCAGCUACAGAAUGGUCAGUAAGGUCCACGUUUCAGUGUUUAUUACCGUUAAUCAGCUACAGAAUGGUCAGUAAGGUCCACGUUUCAGUGUUUAUUACCGUUAAUCAGGAGGAUGGAGAGGUUUGUUUUUAUCAGAAGUCAGCAGAGGUCUGAAAUAACCACAGUUAUGUUUAGUUCACACCGAUAAAGCUUUAGAAAUAAACUUUAUUAGCACGUUACAGAAAGCUUUAAAUAAACUUUAUUAACUCGUUACAGAAAACUUUAAAUAAACUUUAU